rnacentral:rRNA from 1 species
CCACGAAAAUGGCCGCCGACCUAACCCCGACGAAGGGGAGGUACGGCCCUUAAAGGGAGGUGUACGUGGUAACUGGGGUG